rnacentral:rRNA from 1 species
GAUGAACGCUGGCGGCGUGCCUAAUACAUGCAAGUCGAGCGAACAGACGAGGAGCUUGCUCCUUCGACGUUAGCGGCGGACGGGUGAGUAACACGUAGGUAACCUACCUAUAAGACUGGGAUAACUUCGGGAAACCGGAGCUAAUACCGGAUAAUAUUUCGAACCGCAUGGUUCGAUAGUGAAAGAUGGCUUUGCUAUCACUUAUAAAUGGACCUGCGCCGUAUUAGCUAGUUGGUAAGGUAACGGCUUACCAAGGCAACGAUACGUAGCCGACCUGAGAGGGUGAUCGGCCACACUGGAACUGAGACACGGUCCAGACUCCUACGGGAGGCAGCAGUAGGGAAUCUUCCGCAAUGGGCGAAAGCCUGACGGAGCAACGCCGCGUGAGUGAUGAAGGUCUUCGGAUCGUAAAACUCUGUUAUUAGGGAAGAACAAACGUGUAAGUAACUGUGCACGUCUUGACGGUACCUAAUCAGAAAGCCACGGCUAACUACGUG